GAAUGAACGCUGGCGGCGCGCCUAAUACACGCAAGUCGAGCGAGAAGACGUAGCAAUACGUUUGUAAAGCGGCGAACGGGUGAGGAAUACAUGGGUAACCUACCCUCGAGUGGGGAAUAACUAGCCGAAAGGUUAGCUAAUACCGCGUACGCUUCUUGGACUUCGGUUCAGGGAGGAAAGCGAUGCCGAGGGUAUCGCGCUCUUGGAUGGGCUCAUGUCCUAUCAGCUUGUUGGUGAGGUAACGGCUCACCAAGGCUUCGACGGGUAGCUGGUCUGAGAGGACGAUCAGCCACACUGGCACUGCGACACGGGCCAGACUCCUACGGGAGGCAGCAGUAAGGAAUAUUGCGCAAUGGGCGAAAGCCUGACACAGCGACGCCGCGUGGGGGAGUGAAGGU
rnacentral:rRNA from 1 species